GAUGAGCAUGCGUCCCAUUAGCUAGUUGGUAAGGUAACGGCUUACCAAGGCAACGAUGGGUAGGGGUCCUGAGAGGGAGAUCCCCCACACUGGUACUGAGACACGGACCAGACUCCUACGGGAGGCAGCAGUGAGGAAUAUUGGUCAAUGGGCGCAAGCCUGAACCAGCCAUGCCGCGUGCAGGAUGACGGUCCUAUGGAUUGUAAACUGCUUUUGCACAGGAAGAAACACUGAUUCGUGAAUCAGCUUGACGGUACUGUGAGAAUAAGGAUCGGCUAACUCCGUGCCAGCAGCCGCGGUAAUACGGAGGAUCCAAGCGUUAUCCGGAAUCAUUGGGUUUAAAGGGUCCGUAGGCGGUUUGGUAAGUCAGUGGUGAAAGCCCAUCGCUCAACGGUGGAACGGCCAUUGAUACUGCUAAACUUGAAUUAUUAGGAAGUAACUAGAAUAUGUAGUGUAGCGGUGAAAUGCUUAGAGAUUACAUGGAAUACCAAUUGCGAAGGCAGGUUACUACUAAUGGAUUG
rnacentral:rRNA from 1 species